UGUGUUGUGUGUGUGUGUGUGUGUGUUGUGUGUGUUUGUGUGUGUGUGUGUGUAUACACACACACACACACACACACACACACACACACACACAGACACACAUAUUAUAUAUAUAUAUAUAUAUAUAUAUAUUAUAUAUAUAUAUAUAUAUAUGUAUAUAUAUAUAUACAUAU
rnacentral:snoRNA from 1 species